rnacentral:rRNA from 1 species
CCCUAUUAUUUUAAAAUGUUAAUUUUGUGUACCUGAGUAGUAAUAGUUAUGUUCUUGAAACUUAAAGAAUUUGGCGGUAUUUCAUUCCGUCUAGAGGAAUCUGUCUCGUUAUCGAUAGUCCACGUUGGACCUUACUUGUAUUGAUUUUGGUUUGUAUACCGCCGUUUAUUGAUUAUCUUUUUAGAGGUAUGCUAAUUUUCUGGUUUCUUUAUUUUGAUAUAUUUCAGGUCAAGGUGCAGCUUGUUUUUAAGUGGUAUGAUGGAUUACAUUAGUAUUUGUUUGUGGAUUGUUGGUUUUAAUACUGGCAUGAAAUUGGAUUUAGUUGUAAUAAUUUGUAGAUUGUUAUUAUGAUAGGUGGUUCUGGAAUAUGCACACAUCGCCCGUCGCUCUCGUUUAGUUUAUAUGAUGAGAUAAGUC